GAUGAACGCUGGCGGCGUGCCUAAUACAUGCAAGUCGAGCGAACAGACGAGGAGCUUGCUCCUCUGACGUUAGCGGCGGACGGGUGAGUAACACGUGGAUAACCUACCUAUAAGACUGGGAUAACUUCGGGAAACCGGAGCUAAUACCGGAUAAUAUAUUGAACCGCAUGGUUCAAUAGUGAAAGACGGUUUUGCUGUCACUUAUAGAUGGAUCCGCGCCGCAUUAGCUAGUUGGUAAGGUAACGGCUUACCAAGGCAACGAUGCGUAGCCGACCUGAGAGGGUGAUCGGCCACACUGGAACUGAGACACGGUCAAGACUCCUACGGGAGGCAGCAGUAGGGAAUCUUACGCAAUGGGCGAAAGCCUGACGGAGCAACGCCGCGUGAGUGAUGAAGGUCUUCGGAUCGUAAAACUCUGUUAUUAGGGAAGAACAAAUGUGUAAGUAACUAUGCACGUCUUGACGGUACCUAAUCAGAAAGCCACGGCUAACUACGUG
rnacentral:rRNA from 1 species